UGGCUAUAAUUUCCUUCAUGUUUCCGUUGGUGCAGAGGUUCCGCUGGAGAAGAUCUGCCGUAAUAUCACACAUCAGCUGCAUGUAACAAUUUUCCUCUUCCCUAUGAGUGUAUCCUUAUCAUACUGCUAUACGGAGGGAAUGCAGCAGAUGUAUUCAAAGAAAACGCUGGUUAUCAUGUUGUCGAAAUUUGUCCCGACUUUUCCCGAUGGAAUAUCGCCAUACCUCCGACAGCGCAUUGGAUUUCAGAUCUGUGUGAUGCGAUAGUUAAAGUAGAGCGACAAGGACCAUAUUUUUUCGGAGACCACAGUUGACAUCAAUUUUAUAUUCAAUGUCUUUUUAUCGACGGUUUCAGAUGAAAUCAGUGAUGCUGAUGCACGCAUGCUUAGUACAGAUAAAGCCGCACCAGGAUUAAUUACUCUUUUUGACUCCAAUUCAUCGCAUGCCAGAGCAGACCAGCUGAUCGCGAUUAAUGGAAAACAAAUGGUGUUUGAUAUACGCAACAUACAUUUGGCACUUCCAACAGAAUCAUGCGGCCAGAUGUUUCUCAUUGUUGCGCUAUGGAACAGUUCAGAUGAUGUUGAGAAGACACUCAUGUCGACUAUAGCAUGGCCUUUCCAGGUUACUUGUGAAACUAACGCAGAUCUAGCCUUAUACGUCGAGCUAGAACCGUUUCCGCCAGCUCACGGAAUAUUCGUUCACAACAUGACCAUUGUGAUUGGCAUUCCUAUGUCUCAACAACUAAUGGGUUUAAAAUUUUCUUUACAGAACGUAAACAGUUCUUCAUUCUUACGUCGUACCAGUGUAAGCGUGCCUAAAGUUAUGGCCUACUUGACUCAAAAAGCGCACAGCCUCUUAGCGAAAAGCCUCGUAAGGUACGAUACUCUAGAAUAUCGCUUGGGUGACGAAAUCUUACACGGAGACCAACUAAUUGAUUUACUGUUAGAUCAGAGUUCACCGGAAAUUAAACAAGGCCAAAAGAUUCAUUUGAAUACUAGCCAACUACAGCUUUUUACCACCAGCAUAUGCGGCGAAGCGUGGAUGGUUUUUCGGCUAGAUCUGGAAGACGUCAAUGUUGAAAACAAUUUUGCUGUUAUUCCGGUCAUCAUCGAUUGUUCGGUAUUAUCUGAAUCGCUGAAUACCAAUAUGGAAACCUGUGGUGUUGUUCCCAAUGAAUUCUCUAUGGGCCGUUCAGCUCUCAUGUUCACUUCAAUGCAAUUCGGCAGUGCUAUGUCAUUGAACGCGUUUCUUUAUAAGACAGAAGAAAAAACCUAUCUACCAUUGCGAGGAAAUGAGAAUUUUGUUCCCGAAAUACUCGACGCAUUUCGAAUGAUUCAACUUGAGCGGAAUCGCUUAAGCAAAUUAAAUCAAUGCCCAUUUCAUCCGGAACUGCGUCUCAAUUUCAAUACCACACUCUUUGGCCAUCUUUAUCAUUUGAUUUUAUUAUUGAAUGAAAGUUGGAUACCCUCCAAUCAGACUGAGGAACAGAGGGCACAGCAGGAAAAAAUUCUUUUAAUAAGCCAAGCUUUAGGUGGACUUUUAUUUGCUUCUACGUCUUACAACUCCGUUCCGGCAUAUUUUAUGGAUUCCGUUUUAAACGGCUUGUUUAGUUACUGGCCAUUUUUUCCUUUUGACCUGUCAUCCAUACAAAGCGCUUCUCCGCCCGCGCAAGAUAUUAAUCCAUCUCUUCAAUCUUGGCACGAGCGCUUUGCUAAAGUCGUGACCCAUUUUAUGCGUACAACUGUUUAUGCCGACUAUGAAGGGAAGCCUAAUCCGGAUACAGGGUUGCAGAAUUUUCUAAAUCAGCUUUUGUGGAGUCCAGAUGCCCUUCAAAGCGCUACUCUAUCGAAAAAUUCGGUGGACAAACUUCGCCAGUUUCUUCUUUUAGUUUUACAGAAAAAUCUGCCAAGGACCUUCGAUGAUUUGCCAUCCGCAAUUUCCAACGCGCUUACAUCUUUUUCUGAAGAAGUAAGGUCGCUCAUACCGGUUGAAGAAGCCCAAGUCUGGAUAGGAAUCAACACUGUGUAUCAUGCUGUCCAGCAAAGUAUAAAACUUCUCUCUCUGACACAUGAUGAAUGGAAAAGUGACGUCGCACCGAAUCAAGGAGAUAUCAGCGACAAAUUGGCCGUUUUAGGUUCGAUGAUAAGUGCUGUGAAUACAUCCGUGGUUGUCACACGUCUGACUUUGUUAAUUCGAAAGAUCCAAGAGAGUGUGUCUUUGAACAAACAAUGGAUACUGAUGGAAGGCAUGUCCGAUACUGCUUUAGAUGCUGAACUAUAUUGCCGAACACUCGCUCUUAAUCGAAUUAGAUUUCGGGAAAAUCCAGAAGCUGGAAAUUUGUUUAAUGAGCUGGAUCGCAUCACUUUCUGGAAACGAGAUUCUGGAGUAAUUUACCGUGGGGAUAUAAGUGGUAUAACUGGCCGAUUGUAUUGGAACAGAAUUGCCGUAUGUCACUGCAAUAGUUUUUCAAAAUACCAGACACGUGAAGCUAUGCCUUGAAAACAGCUGGGAAUAAUUAUUUCUUUUCCGAAAAAUUCUUCUUUUUCCCGAAAGAGCCGGCAUGAAUUUCGUGGAAGAUCAUUCUUUAGUUUUUGCUGUUGCAGAAGGCAAACGAAUGUUUUUAUGCAGCCGAGAUAAGGGCACAAGGCAGUGUCAUAUUUUCACCUUUUUGUGUUUUCCAGUUUAGCGGCACAAAGCAACUUAAUCCUAAUCUCAAAUUUGCGUGCAUGAGUUUUAUCGUCAGUGACUAGCAUCUAGAGAUAUUACAAUUGAUUGACGUUCCUUCUGAAGGCGUGGUUUCACCCGUGACCUGUCAACGGAUGGUUAUUUUGAUGCCGACGUUUGUUUGCUGUUACAGUGUUGUUGCCUUGCUCCUUGAUACUAGGGGCCCUUACUCCGUAAGGGACGUUCCCGAUAGGGUUGGGCUGUAGUUGCUCUUGAAUCGCGGCAACCGUAUAUGCUCUAAUUACACUCAACGGCUCCCGUUAUUCGCGAAGUUUUCGACAGCGUUGGAGAAAAAAGAAUCACACAGUAUAAUCAAAACUGCCCGCUUAUUUCGAGUAAGUAAAUGGUUUCCUCGUUAAAUUAGCUGAUUUUAAAAUAAACGAAAAUAAAGUAUUGUUACCACCCCAA
rnacentral:misc_RNA from 1 species